GGAAGGAUCAUUCGCACGCAUCCAAAUGUUAUUUGUGAAUUCCUGGCGUGAGGUUUUGCAUGUGCGGUUGAUGCCCUAUGCAAAAGCUCGAGGGCAGCGUGGGCUUGUCUGGGUGCUUGUCACCUCCUGCUGGUCCUGUCUGUCACCCAACCCUCUCUGCUUCUGUGCUUUGAUUCCAUACCUCUUUGCGAUUUGGUAACAAUUUUCAGCGACGGAUACCUCGGCUCAAGCAACGAUGAAGGGCGCAGCGAAGUGUGUUAAGCUUUGUGAAUUGCAGAAUUCCGUGAGUCAAUGGGAUCCUGAAUGCAAAUUGCGCUUUCGGGAUAAGCCUGAAAGCUUACCUGCUUCAGCGUCUAUUCCUUCUGCCGCUGGCGUGCAGCUUGCUGUUGCGCCUUUGGCAUCUUGUGCGUUAAGCCUCCCUCUGGCGGACUUGACGCAUUGAAGGCAUUGGAAAACUCUCAACUCUUACUUUGCAAGGCGCUUGGCGCAAUUACAUUAGGCGUUGGGACGUAUCCAUUGCGUUGUGCGCAACUCGCGCUUGAAGCCAAGACAUGAAGCUAGGCCGGCAAACCCGCUGAAUUUAAGCAUAUC
rnacentral:rRNA from 1 species